GUCUCUGUGCAUUAAUUGGGACCCUAACUCAGCGGGCAGAACUCAGGUGGCUGGCAGAGACCGCCCACGUGGCAGUAGGGCUCGGACCACUUUUGGUGGUAAUAUUUAUCAUAACACUGCCUCAUCUUCUAAGUUUUUAGCUUUUUCAAACAACAUUGCUCUUUCAUUCAGCUGUGCCCACUUUAAUGCUAGCAGGAACAGGACAAUGCAUCAUAGUAAUUCAUAACUAAAUCAAGGAAGAGAUAGUUUUUAAUGCUACAGACUGCCAAUCAAACAGGACCUUCAGGGAUAUUCUAGAUUGAUUAUAGUGUCUCCUUCCAGAACCAUAGAGAAUGACAUGGUUCAUCUUCCCAAAGGAAACUUUUGAAAUAUUUGAGAACACAGACAUCAAGUCCUUCCACAUCUGAGUAAGAGUUGACUUUUCCCCAGCCAUUUUCUAUAUGGCUUAAACUUCUUCCUCUUUCAUGUCAUUUAUCAAAUGAGUCACAGUUGGUCAAGGUCUUUCUUACAGCAUAGAAAUACACCACUGUCUUUAUCUGUACCUACACUUCAGUUGCCACCUCAAACUAUUGAUUUUAAAACACAUACAGACAGACAGAGAGACAGACAGAUACACAUACACACACACACACACACACACACACACACACACACACACACACACACAGAGAGAGAGAGAGAGAGAGAGAGAGAGAGAGAGAGAGAGAGAGAGAGAGAGAAAAGGAAACUCACACUUUCCAACCUCUGUCUUAUGCAAUGGACUGACUCCUGUGGAGGUUGGUGUCAUUUACAAAGCUUAUGCUUCCUUAAAUACAUACAUGCUUAUUUUUGGUUGUGUGGUGUUGGGGAUUGAAUCUCUGUGAUCGUCCCAGUGGCCGCACACAAGCUAAGCACAUGUUAUCCCACUGUGUGUAUCCGAAGCCCCAUAUGUUCAUGCUCAAACCAUCCCUCCUUUGUUGUGCAUUUGCACAGCUGGUCUGUGCAACAUAAGUGAGAUGAUUUCUAUUUAUCCCUGUGGAAAUGCACCUUGUUUGUAAACCUAACAUUGCAGCUACUUUGGAUGAUCCAGAUCCAGCAUUCCAAUCAACUAGUUAUCUCAAAUGAAAAUUAAAUGUGUGUACCACUCUGGUUGUUGGUAACAUAUUCCUAUCAUUACCCUACAUAUUAAUAGAACAUUUACCUUAGUUUGGGUUCUAUGGGUAAAGAGUUAGCACAAUAGAGAAGAGAGGGGUUUGUGGAGAAUGGCAGAAUGGUCAGUACUUUGUCUCACAUUUCUUAUAAAACUCAAUAUAAACAACAUGUCUACCCAGUAACAGCAGGUGACCUUAGCAGAUGGUGGGUGGAAGCAGCUGUGUUACUAAGGCAGAACCAUGACACUACAGUAUGUUCAGAAGACUAAAGGGAUCUUACUACUUUGGUCAUAGCAAGCUGUAACAAAGUGUGUUCUGUUUUUCACCCUCAGGAAAUGAUCACAGCAUCAGCCAAACAAGACCAACAAGAUGGUUCCCUGGAUUGGAGCUGCUUUCAUCAAGAAUGCAGCAGUCACAGUGAGUCUACUCCGCAGCCUCUGCAUAGCCUGCUGUAAUUUUCAGUCUGCUUGAGAUACCACUCUCUUGCAAACAUCAUUUUAUCUUUCUCAGGCAUGCGAAGACAGUAGGAUUUCUGCAUCCUCAAAAACUAAUCAUACAUGCCUCAGAGAAUUACUGUUGGAUCUAUUUUCCAUAGAUUUUGUGGUUAAAAAGGUGAUCGAUGGUUCUGUUUCCUCUCUGAGAGUCAAGUGAAUUUAUCAACCUGUGAUUGUUGCACUUACCUAAAACAAGGCACCAGUUCUGGGCGGAGUACCUGCCCAAUUCAUCGUCGGUGUAUUGCUCCUCUCUCAGUCUUUCGCCAUGGCUGCGCCUGCAGCUUUAAUGGUGGGUAUCAGCACUGAACAGCAGCUCUCCAAAGGAAAGUGUCUUCCCUGUGCAGAGAAAAGAGGCAGCUCUCUCGCCGGGCCUCGCCUACAGACGAUUUAUCUAACAGACUCCAUUUCCUGCAUGCCAUUUGCCAGUAUUUAUCUUGUGUGGGCUCCCAGAGAGGACUGCCGUAGAGGAGUGUCCUGUUAGAACCCAGACUCAUAUUUUUCCAUCUAAAUAAUGAAGAGGCCUCAGCUCUCUCGCUCUCUCUUUCGCCUUUGUUCCCUGUUCAGAAACAGGCCCGUAAUGCGAAUGCUACAUUUGUAGAAAACCUGAUACCCGUUUUUGCUUAUAUGGGGUCUCCCUUUGUAGACCAUGUCUUCGAAAAAUAAUCUGUUAAAUUAGAGGCAUGAGGCCCCUUCUCCCCUCCUCACCCCAUUCCCCUUCCUCCUUCCCUUAGUUCUCCUUUCUUCCGUUUUUCAUAGAUAUUUUAAAUUGUCCCAAGAAAAAUACUAUUUGUUUAGAGAGUCCGGAAGAGACAAUGCUCACCAUAGAUUUACUCCGACAGGUAUAUUGUAUUUUCUGUUACUGUGGUUUAAAUGAACAGUUAUUUAAGUAGCAAGAGAACACUGCCAUUAGGCAAGAUUCUUUUCUUAAAUCCAGUGGUUGCAAGCCAUUCAUUUUUACAUUUCCAUGUUAAAGAUGCUUCCCUAAGAGUGCAUUACCUUAAUAAUCAAUAACUCAGCAGGAGGUCCUAAUGGGGAGCCUUCACUGGAAGCCAGAUUUUACUUGAAGUUGCAAAGGACCACCAUAGGCCUGCCGGCUAUAAUUAAACAACCAUAAAACUAGGAGGUAAAGGGUGGCAGACUACAUUAGCAGUAAAAUGCUAACUUGCAAGUAAUAAGUCUGGACUCUUUCAUGUCUAUUGGAGUGUCUCUUACACUUGAACAAGGAAAAUGCUAUGUUAAAGAAGAAAUUUACAUUUAGGAUCCCUUAAGCUUAAGGACCAGGGAAGGUUGGUGUGGCGAAGAGAAAACAAAGGGUGCACAUUUGUACAACUGGGGAGCUUUCCCUCAUGGUCCACUCUCCUUUCCUCUCCUUCCUCUUCCACCAACCAGCUUUUCAUCCCCCUCUCUGAGAAGCGUCACAGAAUUUAAACACAGGAAACCAAUAUAAAAACGCUCUCAUGCAAAGAAACAGCAGGGCUGACUUUACAUCACUUCAAUUCAUGGCUGGCUAGCUUUACAUUUUCUGAUCAGUGGCUGCCACUGAGACCAGGAAGCCAGUUUCUUCAAGAGAAUCCAUGGACCCGUCAGAAGGCCUUGCGUUAUUGAUUUUCUGCUCAUAGAUUCCAGUUGCUCUGUCAAUCAUGGGCCAAAAAUACAAGAUGGCAGUCAAUAAGCAAGAGAACCGAGCUCCCAUGAAGACAACAAAAUAAUUCAGGAGAUCUGACAAAGAGAAAGUGCCAGUAUCCUCGAGAGAAAAGAAAUCAGAUAUGCUUUCCUGGAAAGAGAAGCUCAUGGCACCCACCCCCUACCCCCCACCGCCCAGACACACAUACUGUCUUUCCCAAUGAAGAGCAUGAACUCCAGGCUCAGUGAGAGAUCCUGCCUAAAAGAAGUAGUGAACAGAACCAAAGGUUGGUCACAAUUUCAACCGAGAAGGAAAUGGAGGAGAGCCAUAUUUAAUAAAGGGGAAAUGAAGGCAACUGGAAUACCAGAGGAAUGUUCAAAGCCUUUCCCACACUCUUGUCCAGUGUUGACUUCUUGGGAUGAGUUGGCAAUCAACACCACAUAGUGCAGAAGCCUGUGAAGGCCAGAAGAGGGGGUUGGAUCCCCUAGAUCAGGAUUUAUAGAUGGGCAGGAAGGAAUUGGAGAGCUGCUUCAGGAUGCCUUCCUCAGGUGAGGUGCCUUCCUCAGAUGCCAAACUUAACCCCCAGUACACCAGAAGUGGUUUAAUUUUAUUUUCACAAUACAAGUGGAAGCAUUUUGCUCUUUUCUUAGUGGUGGAGAAAUAACAAGGGGAUAGCAAUGGAAAAAAAUGUUUGGAUGAAAGAAACACCCAUAAAAACUGUGACUCCUCCAUCUGAAGACUGCUUUCAUAUCUGUGACUCAGAAGGGAAUUGUGGCUCUUAUAAUGCAAUGAAACAUGUGGACUUCUGCAACUAUGUAAAUAUGGUUGGAAGAAUAAGCAGCAGCGUUGGUGUAGGUUCCUGUUCUGUGGAAUACAUAGCACACUGACAGAAGAAAGUGGAGGAGGCAUUGCUCAGGCAUCAUCUGCUAAAGGACAGAUAUUGUCUUAUUUACCAGCAGCCACUGAUUUGUGAAAGGUCCUGUUGCCCUUCUCUGCUCCGAAGAAACAUGUAGAUGCUAUAUUUGUUAUAAAGCUGUUGUCAGGGAUGGAGAGAUGGCUCAGGGGUUAAGAGCACUGACUGUUCUUCCAGAGGUUCUGAGUUAAAUUCCCA